rnacentral:rRNA from 1 species
UACGUGAGGGGGCAAGCGUUGUCCGGAUUUACUGGGCGUAAAGAGCGUGUAGGCGGCCACGCAGGUCCGUUGUGAAAACUGGAGGCUCAACCUUCAGACGUCGACGGAAACCGUGUGGCUAGAGUCCGGAAGAGGGAGAGUGGAAUUCCUGGUGUAGCGGUGAAAUGACGCAGAUAUCAGGAAGAACACCAAUGGCGAAGGCAGCUCCUCUGGGACGGUACUGACGCUGAGACGGCGAAAGCGUGGGGGAGCGAACAGG